AUGGUGGCCCUGAGGUGCAAAACACAAAAGCAAAUAUGAAAGCACAACACGAAAAGAGAAGACACGAUGCCUUUAACCAUUGUGUUUUCUCUUUCUGCGUUGUGUUUUCUGAUUCGUCAUUGUGUUUUGUACCUCAGGGCCUCCGUA